UACGUAGGGGGCAAGCGUUGUCCGGAUUUAUUGGGCGUAAAGAGCGUGUAGGCGGCCAGACAGGUCCGUUGUGAAAACUCGAGGCUCAACCUCGAGACGCCGAUGGAAACCGUCUGGCUAGAGUCCGGAAGAGGAGAGUGGAAUUCCUGGUGUAGCGGUGAAAUGCGCAGAUAUCAGGAAGAAUAUCCGUGGCGAAGGCGGCUCUCUGGUACGGCACUGACGCUGAGACGCGAAAGCGUGGGGAGCGAACAGG
rnacentral:rRNA from 1 species